UACAGAGGGUGCGAGCGUUAAUCGGAAUUACUGGGCGUAAAGCGUGCGCAGGCGGUGAUGUAAGACAGAUGUGAAAUCCCCGGGCUCAACCUGGGAACUGCAUUUGUGACUGCAUCGCUGGAGUGCGGCAGAGGGGGAUGGAAUUCCGCGUGUAGCAGUGAAAUGCGUAGAUAUGCGGAGGAACACCGAUGGCGAAGGCAAUCCCCUGGGCCUGUACUGGCGCUCAUGCACGAAAGCGUGGGGAGCAAACAGG
rnacentral:rRNA from 1 species